GAGGUACGUAAUGGCCAUAUUCUUGGA
rnacentral:piRNA from 1 species